AUGGCGGUCAUUAUUAUUAAUAACAUGGCAGUUAUUAUUUUUAAGAGGAUGGCAUUUUUGUUAUCAAGAGGAUGAUAAUUUUAUUAUUCAGACGAUAAUUUUUUAUUUUUAAUGGCAUGGCGGUUUUUAUUACUAAGAGCAUGGCUUUUUUUAAUAAGUAAUAGGAUGGCAUUUUUAUUUAUUGAGAGGAUGGCAUUUUUCUUAUUAAGAGGAUGGGCAUUUUUAUUCUUGAGAGGAUGGCAUUUUUAUUUUUAUUGGCAUGGCAAUUUUAUUACUUAAAACAUGACAUUUUUAUUUGGGUUAGUUUGAUAAAUGCCACUCUAAUUUUGUCGAUUCUGAGAAAUGCCACUGCAAUUUCCAAACUUUGAAAAAUGCCAUUUUUAGUGGCAAUUUUUAAAGUCUACAGUGAUGUUUUUCAAAGUUUGCAAAAUUUGCAGUGACAUUUUUCAAAGUUUGAAAAUUGCAAUGGCAUUUCUCGGAAUCGCCAAAAUUCGAGUUGCAAUUUAUCCAAUUAACCCUUUUUAUUUUAACGUCAUGGAAGGUCCUGCAUGGUGCUUUGCCAUGCUAUGGUGUUCUUGUGGGCCGACACAUUAGAACCCUUGUUUAAUGUCCGAUAUGUGUCGCUGGACCGAAGGAUAUACAACAUUCAGGGGAGCAGCCGGCGCGCCGAGCCGCCCAUCGCGAUCGCACGCGCCCACUGGAGCUCUUGUGCACGAGCCCCUGCACAGGCCACCGCGAGAUCCAGACCAUGCCUCCACCAACUCCCCGAAGGAGGCACCUUCCUCGAGCCACGCCCGUCGCAAACAGGAGCCGCACCACGCGCCCCGGCCACCACCACGACUCCUGGCCGCCGCUCCUGGCCAAGAUCCGCAUCCGACAAGAUCCGAAAUCAACACCCGAAGAAAACAACGGGCCCAUUCCGUGUCUCCACCGCGCUCUUCCCAUGUGCCGCCUCACCGGUAGCCGCCCGCCACCGCGCCGCCCACAAGACUGCACUCCCGCACGAAGGAGGCCUGUCAGGGCGUGCACAACUCGCCCGCCGCUUUGUCGGCCGGGAGCCGCCACCACCGUCGGCGGCAGUGGCGGCCAGGGGGGCACGGAGUUGCGGGCACUCGGGAGCUCAGGUUUCGCCUCCAGAGCCGCCUGCGUGAGCGGCCCGACAGGUUGACGAUUUGUCUUGCUUCCGUUGUGGCAGAUACUAGUCUAGAAUGUACAGUAAUCCUUUACAACCAUUUAUGGAGAAGAUACUGAAACACAUGCCCCGCCGUAUUGUGUUUCAGCUUUCCGCAUCAAGUGUGAAAUCCCUAGUUAAGAUCUUUUGUCAUUAGUGUGAAACCAGACAACCUAAUAGUUUUGUUUCAGCUUUCCGCGUAAGGGACAAAUGGACGUGCUUUCAGCUUUCCACGACGAGGAAGGUGGUGGCCCUGUGCAGUGUUGGCGUGCUUGCUGUAAUUCGGGUGCGUGGACUGGUGGAGGUACUUGUCGGGUUUGGCCGACUGCAUGGGAGUGGUGGUUGUGCUGCUCAGGGUCGUCCACGGGUCCGUGCGGGCUAGGGGAAAUUCCUAUUGGAUGUCCCUCCAUCCCCAUUGGCUGUCAAGCAGAUCACGCGGAUCACCAUCCCAUCCGACGUCUCUCGGCGCACGAUGUUGCCCAAAUCUUCUCUAUAAAUGCACAAGCCUUCGCUACUACUGCCUCUUGAUCUGUCGCUCCCGCCGCGCAAGUUCUACUCCUAUGGCAUCGACUAAGCGCCACCACCACCCAUCCUCCUUUCUCCCGCUGGACAUGUGGAGGCAUAGAUGCUGGACAGAAGUACCCUUCCACACAAGCACCCCGACAAGGGCGAUGGGCCAGCGUCGUACAUGAUGGGUGUUUGAUUCCGAAGAUCCACACCAGUUCAUCGAAGGAAAGGCUGCACAACAGUCCGGAAAACAAAAUUUCUUUGGGACAAGUAAAUUGAUGUACACAAAUAUUGCUCUCCAUUGUUCAUCCACCGCUAGAGGAGGUGAGUGACAUUUUGGCCUCAUGGCGUCGUCAUGUCAUGGAGUGCUACAAUAAUUCCUCAAAGUUUGCAUCCGGAAAGGUUAUCUAUUUAAUUAGUUUGAAGAAACUCCCAUCCUUUCCGAUGUCUCUGUGAUUAUUUUGCUUGCCUAAUGAAAGAAUGUAUAAUUUUCUUUCUGCUUCAAAAUAAGAGUAGGUCAAACCAACUAGCAGGCAUGAUGGUUGUUUCACUCACUCACUCAUGUAUUUAGUGUUGUUGUGGAUGCAUUUCUUAAUCCAUGGACCUCCUCUCCCAAGCUCAACCCAUCUAUAUCUCUAUGAGCUCUUUUACGUACGUUGAUUGGCGAGUUACGACUUGUAAUUUCAUGUAACUCCGCCUCUGAUUUUUUGUGACCGUCGAUUUAAACACGUAAUAAAAAUCAUUAAGUUAAAUUAGUCAAGGGUAUUAUUGUCUUUGUCCGUUCCGUUUUUUCUUUUGGACUGCCGUUCCGUCUUGGAUCGAUCAACCCUAACCCACCAGCGCGUCUGCAAUCCCCUCCCCGUGCGGAGCCGCCGCGGCUACCAUGUGGCCGGCGCUGCUCUCUUGUCCUGGUGGCCACCGACGAACCCUGACGUUGCAUCAGCUGACGUGCCCCCACCGCCCGAUCCCCACUCAAUCCUUCCUCGCCGCCGCCGCUGCCGCCGAAGACCUGGAUGAGGCGACGCUAACUUGCGGAAUGGACACCUCUGCGUCGAGGACACCGACCUCGAGCGGUCCACCAAGAAUUCCGAGGAGGCCAUCCUCGGCGAACUCUCCUCGCUCGGCCUUGACUGGGACGAAGGACCAAGAAUCAGAGAGGAAGGUCUGCAGAGAAAAGAGGAUGUCACAUGGAAAAUGAUAUUGUACUUAUUAUGCUGAAUUCUGAAUUGUUGAAGAUCGUACUGUAUUUUAGCUAUUAAUCAGAUUCUUUUUUAGAAUCAUGAGGCUCUUUCUGUAUGACCAUUACUAUGAAUUUUUUAAGGAACGUGAAGAUUAUCACUAAUUAUUGAAA